GACGAACGCUGGCGGCGUGCCUAAUACAUGCAAGUCGAACGAGAGCGACCGGUGCUUGCACUGGUCAAUCUAGUGGCGAACGGGUGAGUAACACGUGGGUAACCUGCCCAUCAAAGGGGGAUAACAUCCGGAAACGGAUGCUAAAACCGCAUAGGUCUUCGAGCCGCAUGGCUUGAAGAGGAAAAGAGGCGCAAGCUUCUGCUGAUGGAUGGACCCGCGGUGCAUUAGCUAGUUGGUGAGGUAACGGCUCACCAAGGCCGUGAUGCAUAGCCGACCUGAGAGGGUGAUCGGCCACAUUGGGACUGAGACACGGCCCAAACUCCUACGGGAGGCAGCAGUAGGGAAUCUUCCGCAAUGGACGCAAGUCUGACGGAGCAACGCCGCGUGAGUGAAGAAGGUUUUCGGAUCGUAAAACUCUGUUGUUAGAGAAGAACAAGUGCUAGAGUAACUGUUAGCGCCUUGACGGUAUCUAACCAGAAAGCCACGGCUAACUACGUG
rnacentral:rRNA from 1 species